rnacentral:rRNA from 1 species
AGAGUUUGAUCCUGGCUCAGAACGAACGCUGGCGGCGUGCUUAACACAUGCAAGUCGAACGAGAACACCCCUUCGGGGGUUAUUAAAGUGGCGGACGGGUGAGUAACGCGUGGGUAAUCUACCUUCCAGAGGGGGACAACCCGCCGAAAGGCGGGCUAAUACCGCGUAACACGAUUGGUUCACAAGGGCCGAUCGUCAAAGGCAGCCUCUGCUUGCAUGCUGUCACUGGAAGAUGAGCCCGCGUCCCAUUAGCUAGUUGGAGGGAUAACAGCCCCCCAAGGCGACGAUGGGUAGCCGGCCUGAGAGGGUGAACGGCCACACUGGAACUGAGACACGGUCCAGACUCCUACGGGAGGCAGUAGUGGGGAAUAUUGCGCAAUGGGCGAAAGCCUGACGCAGCAACGCCGCGUGAGUGAUGAAGGCCCUCGGGUCGUAAAGCUCUGUCGCAGGGGACGAAAAGCACGGGCCUAACAGGUCCGUGUCAUGACGGUACCCUGCAAGAAAGCUCCGGCCAACUCCGUGCCAGCAGCCGCGGUAAGACGGAGGGAGCAAGCGUUGUUCGGAAUUACUGGGCGUAAAGGGCGCGCAGGCGGUUUUGUAAGUUGGAGGUGAAAGCCCAUGGCUCAACCGUGGAAUUGCCUUCAAAACUGCAUGACUUGAGUACGGAAGA